UACGUAGGGGGCAAGCGUUGUCCGGAAUCAUUGGGCGUAAAGAGCGUGUAGGCGGCCAGAUAAGUCCGCUGUGAAAUCUCGAGGCUCAACUUCGAGCUGUCGGUGGAAACUAUCUGGCUAGAGUCCGGAAGAGGAGAAUGGAAUUCCUGGUGUAGCGGUGAAAUGCGCAGAUAUCAGGAAGAACACCCGUGGCGAAGGCGGCUCUCUGGGACGGUACUGACGCUGAGACGCGAAAGCGUGGGGAGCGAACAGG
rnacentral:rRNA from 1 species